CCCUUAGAUGUUCUGGGCUGCACGCGCGCUACACUGAUGCGCUCAACGAGUUUAUGACCUUGCCCUGAAGGGUUGGGUAAUCUUCUUAAAACGCAUCGUGAUGGGGAUAGAUUAUUGCAAUUAUUAGUCUUCAACGAGGAAUUCCUAGUAAGCGCGAGUCAUCAGCUCGUGCUGAUUACGUCCCUGCCCUUUGUACACACCGCCCGUCGCUCCUACCGAUUGAAUGCUCAGGUGAGCCAUUCGGACUUUCAUCAUGCUGGUUUCCAGUUUUGAUGAAGGAAAGUCUUGCGAACCUUAUCAUUUAGAGGAAGGAGAAGUCGUAACA
rnacentral:rRNA from 1 species